rnacentral:rRNA from 1 species
AUUGAACGCUGGCGGCAGGCCUAACACAUGCCAGUCGAGCGGAUGAAGGGAGCUUGCUCCUGGAUUCAGCGGCGGACGGGUGAGUAAUGCCUAGGAAUCUGCCUGGUAGUGGGGGAUAACGUCCGGAAACGGGCGCUAAUACCGCAUACGUCCUGAGGGAGAAAGUGGGGGAUCUUCGGACCUCACGCUAUCAGAUGGGCCUAGGUCGGAUUAGCUAGUUGGUGGGGUAAAGGCCUACCAAGGCGACGAUCCGUAACUGGUCUGAGAGGAUGAUCAGUCACACUGGAACUGAGACACGGUCCAGACUCCUACGGGAGGCAGCAGUGGGGAAUAUUGGACAAUGGGCGAAAGCCUGAUCCAGCCAUGCCGCGUGUGUGAAGAAGGUCUUCGGAUUGUAAAGCACUUUAAGUUGGGAGGAAGGGCAGUAAGUUAAUACCUUGCUGUUUUGACGUUACCAACAGAAUAAGCACCGGCUAACUUCGUG